rnacentral:rRNA from 1 species
GAUGAACGCUGGCGGCGUGCCUAAUACAUGCAAGUCGAGCGAACAGACGAGGAGCUUGCUCCUCUGACGUUAGCGGCGGACGGGUGAGUAACACGUGGAUAACCUACCUAUAAGACUGGGAUAACUUCGGGAAACCGGAGCUAAUACCGGAUAAUAUAUUGAACCGCAUGGUUCAAUAGUGAAAGACGGUUUUGCUGUCACUUAUAGAUGGAUCCGCGCCGCAUUAGCUAGUUGGUAAGGUAACGGCUUACCAAGGCAACGAUGCGUAGCCGACCUGAGAGGGUGAUCGGCCACACUGGAACUGAGACACGGUCCAGACUCCUACGGGAGGCAGCAGUAGGGAAUAUUCCGCAAUGGGCGAAAGCUUGACGGAGCAACGCCGCGUGAGUGAUGAAGGUCUUCGGAUCGUAAAACUCUGUUAUUAGGGAAGAACAAAUGUGUAAGUAACUAUGCACGUCUUGACGGUACCUAAUCAGAAAGCCACGGCUAACUACGUG